rnacentral:rRNA from 1 species
UACGGAGGAUGCAAGCGUUAUCCGGAAUGAUUGGGCGUAAAGCGUCCGCAGGUGGCUGUGUAAGUCUGCUGUUAAAGAGUCUAGCUCAACUAGAUACAAGCAGUGGAAACUACACAGCUAGAGUACGUUCGGGGCAGAGGGAAUUCCUGGUGUAGCGGUGAAAUGCGUAGAGAUCAGGAAGAACACCGGUGGCGAAGGCGCUCUGCUAGGCCGUAACUGACACUGAGGGACGAAAGCUAGGGGAGCGAAUGGG